rnacentral:rRNA from 1 species
GAUGAACGCUGGCGGCGUGCCUAAUACAUGCAAGUCGAGCGAACGGACGAGAAGCUUGCUUCUCUGAUGUUAGCGGCGGACGGGUGAGUAACACGUGGAUAACCUACCUAUAAGACUGGGAUAACUUCGGGAAACCGGAGCUAAUACCGGAUAAUAUUUUGAACCGCAUGGUUCAAAAGUGAAAGACGGUCUUGCUGUCACUUAUAGAUGGAUCCGCGCUGCAUUAGCUAGUUGGUAAGGUAACGGCUUACCAAGGCAACGAUGCAUAGCCGACCUGAGAGGGUGAUCGGCCACACUGGAACUGAGACACGGUCCAGACUCCUACGGGAGGCAGCAGUAGGGAAUCUUCCGCAAUGGGCGAAAGCCUGACGGAGCAACGCCGCGUGAGUGAUGAAGGUCUUCGGAUCGUAAAACUCUGUUAUUAGGGAAGAACAUAUGUGUAAGUAACUGUGCACAUCUUGACGGUACCUAAUCAGAAAGCCACGGCUAACUACGUGCCAGCAGCCGCGGUAAUACGUAGGUGGCAAGCGUUAUCCGGAAUUAUUGGGCGUAAAGCGCGCGUAGGCGGUUUUUUAAGUCUGAUGUGAAAGCCCACGGCUCAACCGUGGAGGGUCAUUGGAAACUGGAAAACUUGAGUGCAGAAGAGGAAAGUGGAAUUCCAUGUGUAGCGGUGAAAUGCGCAGAGAUAUGGAGGAACACCAGUGGCGAAGGCGACUUUCUGGUCUGUAACUGACGCUGAUGUGCGAAAGCGUGGGGAUCAAACAGGAUUAGAUACCCUGGUAGUCCACGCCGUAAACGAUGAGUGCUAAGUGUUAGGGGGUUUCCGCCCCUUAGUGCUGCAGCUAACGCAUUAAGCACUCCGCCUGGGGAGUACGACCGCAAGGUUGAAACUCAAAGGAAUUGACGGGGACCCGCACAAGCGGUGGAGCAUGUGGUUUAAUUCGAAGCAACGCGAAGAACCUUACCAAAUCUUGACAUCCUUUGACAACUCUAGAGAUAGAGCUUUCCCCUUCGGGGGACAAAGUGACAGGUGGUGCAUGGUUGUCGUCAGCUCGUGUCGUGAGAUGUUGGGUUAAGUCCCGCAACGAGCGCAACCCUUAAGCUUAGUUGCCAUCAUUAAGUUGGGCACUCUAAGUUGACUGCCGGUGACAAACCGGAGGAAGGUGGGGAUGACGUCAAAUCAUCAUGCCCCUUAUGAUUUGGGCUACACACGUGCUACAAUGGACAAUACAAAGGGCAGCGAAACUGUGAGGUCAAGCAAAUCCCAUAAAGUUGUUCUCAGUUCGGAUUGUAGUCUGCAACUCGACUACAUGAAGCUGGAAUCGCUAGUAAUCGUAGAUCAGCAUGCUACGGUGAAUACGUUCCCGGGUCU